UGCAAUCCUCUCCGCGGGUGGAGCGACUUUCUCUCGAGCGAACUGUGAAAUCUACCGCUUUCUAAUACCUCGCUUUAUGUCUGCAGGGUGUGUGGGACUCUGAGCCUCUGAGGAGUCGCUGUACAAUCAUCCUCCUUUAGGAUUUGACUUCGAUUUGAAGAAUAUAUCUGAAUCCGAUGUACCUGAAAAACACUCCCCCGGCUCUGACAGACCGCGGGAAAUUGUCGUUACUUCCUGUGCAAUGAAGACUUGGCGCGACAUUACAGUUGUAAACAACAGGAGGACACAUAACAAUAGCACAACGAGAAUUGCUUAAGGAAUAGAGACAAAGUGAUACCUGGAAGAAUGGAUGACUUUGACAUCCAUGAUGCCCCUGGCCUCUUUGUACAUGAUGACAAAGAAGACUCCGUGGAUAUCUAUGAUGGCCUGGACCUCAGCUUUAACAACAACGCAGGUAAGAGUCC